CAUUAAAGAGUUCUAUAACUCCCAAACCCAUGUGAACAUACCUAACGUUGCCUCGGCAGGUCGCACCUACCUUGUAGCACCCUACCCUGUAGGGCCUACCCGGGAGGUGCGGGUAAGCCUGCCGGCGGCCCACCAAACUCUGUUUGAUAUUGAAUUCUGAACCUAUAACUAAAUAAGUUAAAACUUUCAACAACGGAUCUCUUGGUUCUGGCAUCGAUGAAGAACGCAGCGAAAUGCGAUAAGUAAUGUGAAUUGCAGAAUUCAGUGAAUCAUCGAAUCUUUGAACGCAUAUUGCGCCCAUUAGUAUUCUAGUGGGCAGGACCGUUCGAGCGUCAUUUCAACCCUUAAGCCUUCGUUGCUUAGUGUUGGGAGCCUACGGCAACGUAGCUCCUCAAAGUUAGUGGCGGAGUUGGUUCACACUCUAGACGUAGUAAUUUUUUAUCUCGCCUAUUAGUUGGACUAAUCCCCUGCCGUAAAACCCCCAAUUUAUCAAGGUUGACCUCGAAUCGGUUCAGACAAACUCGCUAAAUUGAAGCAUCUUAGUCAGCGAAGGAAAAGAAACCAACAGGGAUUGCCCUAGUAACGGCGAGUGAAGCGGCAACAGCUCAAAUUUGAAAUCUGGCCCUCGGGUCCGAGUUGUAAUUUGUAGAGGAUGCUUUUGGCGCGGUGCCUUCCGAGUUCCCUGGAACGGGACGCCUUAGAGGGUGAGAGCCCCGUACGGUUGGACACCAAGCCUCUGUAAAGCUCCUUCGACGAGUCGAGUAGCUGGGGAAUGCUGCUCU
rnacentral:rRNA from 1 species